UCACAGAAGAGUGACAGGCUAUGUGAAUCCAGCCGUGGAUGUGUGUUCAUGUGCAUAAGAAAAGACAGGGCGACAACAAGAUGCCCCGUCUGACGAGCGGCGACGUCGGCGCCCCGUGGCAGAGGAGGGGAACGCGGGGGCGCAUCUCACCGACUCCCAGCGCGAGCCCCGCCGCCGGCUCUGCAGCCUGCGGCUGC
rnacentral:lncRNA from 1 species